UACGGAGGGUGCAAGCGUUAUCCGGAUUUACUGGGUUUAAAGGGUGCGUAGGUGGUUUUGUAAGUCAGCGGUGAAAGCUCGGAGCUCAACUCCGAAAUUGCCAUUGAUACUGCAAAGCUUGAGUACAGUUGAGGUAGGCGGAAUAUGUCAUGUAGCGGUGAAAUGCUUAGAUAUGACAUAGAACACCAAUUGCGAAGGCAGCUUGCUAAACUGUAACUGACACUGAGGCACGAAAGCGUGGGGAUCAAACAGG
rnacentral:rRNA from 1 species